rnacentral:rRNA from 1 species
CCUACGGGGGGCAGCAGUGAGGAAUAUUGGUCAAUGGUCGGGAGACUGAACCAGCCAAGCCGCGUGAGGGAGGAAGGUACAGAGUAUCGUAAACCUCUUUUGUCAGGGAACAAAGGCGGGGACGUGUCCCCGGAUGAGUGUACCUGAAGAAAAAGCAUCGGCUAACUCCGUGCCAGCAGCCGCGGUAAUACGGAGGAUGCGAGCGUUAUCCGGAUUUAUGGGGGUUAAAGGGUGCGCAGGCGGUCUGUAAAGUCAGCGGUCAAAGCCCGGGGCUCAACCCCGGCCCGCCGUUGAAACUGGCAGUCUCGAGUUGGAGAGAAGUAUGCGGAAUGCGCGGUGUAGCGGUGAAAUGCAUAGAUAUCGCGCAGAACUCCGAUUGCGAAGGCAGCAUGCCGGCUCCACACUGACGCUGAGGCACGAAAGCGUGGGUAUCGAACAGGAUUAGAUACCCCAGUAGUC